GGGGGCGUAGGAGCAUGUCAAGGAAGCCUAAAGCGGGGACGGCGCUCUGAAUCCCAAGGCUCAUCUUCACCGGGGAGCGUCCGUUCUUCGCCGGUUCCGACGACAAACUAUUGCAAGGGUUCAAUGGAGAACUUGUGGCAAGGAAUGGAUAAUGCUUCUCAGCCAAUUGGUGAGGUGAAUUACACCCAUGGCAUUGACAUAGGUGAGCCCUACAUGUCAACCGAGCAGCAGCUUAACAACUUCCCUCCAGAUGGGUCCCAAAACAUGAACACUGCCGUGCCAGCACAACCUAGAGCUCCUAAAGGACGCAGGAAGGGUACUGCCAAACGUCAAGGUACAAAAUAGCCCGCUAAUAGCUCGUUAUUGUCCGCUAUUAGCUUUUUAAGAGAUCUCCCGCUACGCUAUACAAUAUUUGUCCGCUAUGUCCACUAUAGGGGUUUUUUAUAGGAUUUAGUGAUAAUAAAUGUCCGCUACUUCCGCUAAAGAUGUAGCCAAAAGAAAUAAAGAAUCAAUAUAACUAGGGUGGACCAUAGACAAAGCAUCACGGGCACAGUUAGGCAGUCAAGAGACGUGUUGAGUCUAUUUUAGAAUGUUAGACCAAUGAUGCUUCUAAUUUUAUAUGUAUUAUGGACUUAUGGCUAUGAAAAAUUUGCUGAAAUUGGUUGCACUACUGAUGUUAUUGGCCACAUUAUGCAUAUUUUUUUUGCAAACCGCUAAAUGGAUAGCUCCGCUAUAGCUUUCGCUAUAGCUCUCUUAGCUUUUUGGAAGAGCUUCCGCUAAACGUCUUAGCCCGCGAUUUUAUACCUUGCCAAACGUACAAAGAACUUCGCAACAAAGGAGGAUGAUUUUUUAUGCUCGGCGUGGAUUAAUGUGAGCAAGGAUCCUAUUGGGGGAAUCAACCAGCCAAUCCAAUCUUACUGGGCAAGGAUAAAAGCUUACUACGAUGAACACAGUAAAAUUGAUAGGUCCAACUCUGCCCUGCAACAUAGAUGGGCUGAUAUCCAGAAGGAUACUUCAAGAUUUUGUGGGUUCUACUAUGAGAUUGAAAGGAAAAACCAGAGUGGCGAGAGCGAAAAUGACAAGGUCAAAGACGCCAUCCAGAUGUAUGAGGGUAUUAUCGGAACCACUUUCAAGUUCAUUCAUUGUUGGUAUAUCUUACGCAAUGAGAUGAAAUGGAACGAGUGGCUCGCUUCCAUGUCUGCAAGCAACGAAGAUCCGCAUGUACAACCUGCUGAGGAAAACUUAGAUCCCACGCUCCCUCCUCGAAUUGCUAGGCCAGUUGCAGGGACAAGGGCAAGAAGGCACGCAGCAGCACCGCUUCCUCAUCUUCAGCUUGCCUUGAAGUGCUGCAAAAGAUGUCCAUAGACCGGAGCGCUUAUGAAGAACGGGUUGAGGCCGCAAGCAACAAGGAGGCCAAGGACAUAGCUUCUCGGUCUGAUCGCAAACUAGCUCUACAGGAAGAGCAGCUGCAAAUUCAGAAAGUGCAGGUGCAAAUACAACAAGAGAUGCUCCAACUCCAGAAGGAAGAUCGGGAAGAACAGGUCAUGAGCAUGCAUGUCGACAAGAUGACACCGUGGGUUCGUGAAUACUACAUCAACAAACAGAAGAUCUCUGCGAUGAGCUUCAGAGAUGAUGGUUCCAGUGGCCCUAGUAGGCAGUAGAUGUAAUUUUAUCAGUUUCCGUAUCAAACUAUGUGUUGAACUAUGCAUGACUGGGAUGGCUAGUAGAUGUAAUGUUAUCAGUUUCUGUAUCGGACUAUGUGUUCAACUAUGCAUGACUGGGAUGACCAGUAGAUGUAAUUUUAUCAGUUUCCGUAUCGAACUAUGUGUUGAAAAGUGGGGGCAUGAU